ACAUGCAGUCGAGGGGCAGCAUUCCAGUUUGCUUGCAAACUGGAGAUGGCGACCGGCGCACGGGUGAGUAACACGUAUCCAACCUGCCGAUAACUCGGGGAUAGCCUUUCGAAAGAAAGAUUAAUACCCGAUGGCAUAAUAGAACCGCAUGGUUUGAUUAUUAAAGAAUUUCGGUUAUCGAUGGGGAUGCGUUCCAUUAGGCAGUUGGUGGGGUAACGGCCCACCAAACCUUCGAUGGAUAGGGGUUCUGAGAGGAAGGUCCCCCACAUUGGAACUGAGACACGGUCCAAACUCCUACGGGAGGCAGCAGUGAGGAAUAUUGGUCAAUGGACGAGAGUCUGAACCAGCCAAGUAGCGUGAAGGAUGACUGCCCUAUGGGUUGUAAACUUCUUUUAUAUGGGAAUAAAGUGGUCCACGUGUGGAUUUUUGUAUGUACCAUAUGAAUAAGGAUCGGCUAACUCCGUGCCAGCAGCCGCGGUAAUACGGAGGAUCCGAGCGUUAUCCGGAUUUAUUGGGUUUAAAGGGAGCGUAGGUGGACAGUUAAGUCAGUUGUGAAAGUUUGCGGCUCAACCGUAAAAUUGCAGUUGAUACUGGCUGUCUUGAGUACAGUAGAGGUGGGCGGAAUUCGUGGUGUAGCGGUGAAAUGCUUAGAUAUCACGAAGAACUCCGAUUGCGAAGGCAGCUCACUGGACUGCAACUGACACUGAUGCUCGAAAGUGUGGGUAUCAAACAGGAUUAGAUACCCUGGUAGUCCACACAGUAAACGAUGAAUACUCGCUGUUUGCGAUAUACAGUAAGCGGCCAAGCGAAAGCAUUAAGUAUUCCACCUGGGGAGUACGCCGGCACGGUGAAACUCAAGGAAUUGACGGGGGCCCGCACAAGCGGAGGAACAUGUGGUUUAAU
rnacentral:rRNA from 1 species